rnacentral:rRNA from 1 species
GACGAACGCUGGCGGCGUGCUUAACACAUGCAAGUCGAACGGAAAGGCCCCUUUGGGGGUACUCGAGUGGCGAACGGGUGAGUAACGCGUGAGUAACCUGCCCUUGACUUCGGGAUAACUUCAGGAAACUGGGGCUAAUACCGGAUAGGAAUCCUUGCUGCAUGGUGGGGGUUGGAAAGCUUCGGCGGUUUUGGAUGGACUCGCGGCUUAUCAGCUUGUUGGUGGGGUAGUGGCUUACCAAGGCUUUGACGGGUAGCCGGCCUGAGAGGGCGACCGGCCACAUUGGGACUGAGAUACGGCCCAGACUCCUACGGGAGGCAGCAGUGGGGAAUAUUGCACAAGGGGCGGAAGCCUGAUGCAGCAACGCCGCGUGCGGGAUGACGGCCUUCGGGUUGUAAACCGCUUUCAGCAGGGGCGAAGCUUGUGGUGACGGUACCUGCAGAAGAAGCACCGGCUAACUACGUG